GGUUUAAGAUUCAUGCUAAAAUCUUCAUUUAUUGUACCUUAAAAAUUUGAAAAGAAUGCCAAAUGGUUGGUAAACUGUUCUAUGCAUACACCUGCUAUUUGGGAUCAGUCAUUUUGGUUGGAAUGGCUGAAAAUAUGACUCCUUUCUAUCUUUUCAUAAGUUCUGUAUGCAGUUUCAUUAUUGAAAGGCCAAUUUAGUUUUUAAGGUACUUACUGCAGAAGUUUUAUCUAACAUGGUUGCAGGGGUUUGUUAUUGUUUCUGCGCUUCUUGUUACGGCUUUGCUGCAGUUCAUUUUUUAAGGGAAACCACCUUCAUUGUAUUGUCUGGCAUCUCUUCCCCUCGUGGUUAGCAGCAUUUCGAUAUACCAGAAAUAUCCUUACCAAGUUAAAAAGAAAGAAUCUUAAAAUCCUAACCAUUGUGACAUCAGGGACUUCUUAUUUUGGCCCUGAUCACAAAGAAUUUUCAUUAGUUCAACUGAAACAAUUUCAUAUACCAUUAAUUUCAUCAGCUGCUUCAUAUAUAGUUGUCAGGUUUGUGUAAAUGUCCAUUUCAUGUUUCUUUCAAUUUGUAAUUUACAGAUGAAUAACUGCUUUAUAUCUCAGUCAAUAAAAUCUUUACUUUGAUUGCUUCAGUUGUAAUCACGAACGUGAUUGGCCUAAUUUGGGGUUCUAUUACGACGGAAUGGAUUCAAGUGGAGAAUAUGGUGUGCUUGCUGAGUGUUUCCAGCUAAAAACUGAGCUAACGAUUGAUUAAGGAUUAAGGAAUUUUUCAGUUCUGUAUAGCUGACACAGAACAUGACUCUAGGGAGUGAACAGAGCAGUACAAGUUCUUUGAGAAUUGCCUUGCAUUCGUGGAUAGACAAAAGGUGCAAAUUUUACAUUGAAGGAGUGGUCUAUAUAAGAAAAUUUACUUCCCCUACUUCCAAUUAAGAAGAUUGGUCUAAGCUUCAAAAAACUACAUCUUGCAAACUAUCAUUGAAGGCCUUUUUAAACUUCUAGAUAGACUUGUUUGAAGAGGAAAGGGGAUCAUUUCAGGAUUCAAAGGGCAAUGUGCUUUUCUUUGUCUCAGAUCUUUUCAAUCCUGUACCCUUAUUCCAUCUAUUUCUUGUAGAGUUAAGCUAUGACCAUCAGGUGCUUCUUGAUUACCUUAUUUCAAAAGAUACUGGAAUCAGUUGUGCAGAAUAUCUUUUAAGGUGCUUGCGUAAAGUGUGUGAUUCAUGGAGCUUAUUUGUGGAAUUUCCACCGAGAUGCUCAAUUGUGUAGAAGAUGCUUAGAUUUGUUAAUAUUGCUUACAUGAGAUGCUCAAUUGUAUUUCCCUAAGCUCGGAUUGAUAGGGUUGCCAGGUUCAUAUAUAUCCUUGUUGUGUUAUGGGGGGUCAACCUGCCGAGCCAUUUGCUACCUGGAGAAGAAGUUUAUUUAUGUGUUUUUGAAAUUCAUAGUGAAAGCAAUAUUAAAUUUUAUUGUGCAAAACUUUUGAAUCUACCUCAAGCUCUAAUUUUGUAUAGAAAUUAAUACAAUUCCCUAAUAUUUAAAAUACAUUUGAAUUUCA